UCCAAGGGAAACAGAGGACAGUGGCGGACGGGUGAGUAACACGUGAGCAACCUGCCUAUCAGAGGGGGAUAACGGCUGGAAACGGUCGCUAAUACCGCAUGACGUGUUCGGAUGGCAUCAUCUGAACAUCAAAGAUUUAUCGCUGAAAGAUGGCCUCGCGUCUGAUUAGCUAGUUGGCGGGGUAACGGCCUACCAAGUCUACGAUCAGUAGCCGGACUGAGAGGUUGAACGGCCACAUUGGGACUGAGAUACGGCCCAGACUCC
rnacentral:rRNA from 1 species